GACAGAGGUGCCGAGCGUUAGGCGGAAUCACUGGGCUUAAAGCGUGUGUAGGCGGAUGCCUAAGUACCUUGUGAAAUCCCCCGGCUUAACCGGGGAACUGCUUGGUAUACUGGGUGUCUUGAGCCACUUAGGGGCGACCGGAACAAACGGUGGAGCGGUGAAAUGCGUAGAUAUCGUUUGGAACGCCAAUGGUGAAAACAGGUCGCUGGGAGUGCGCUGACGCUGAGACACGAAAGCCAGGGGAGCGAACGGG
rnacentral:rRNA from 1 species